rnacentral:lncRNA from 1 species
AUGCACGCAUGCAUGCAAACACUAAGCAUCCCCUUUCCCUCCAGCCCUUCACUGAUCUUUGACUAUUCUGAUCUCCUCCAGUUACUUCACGCUUCUAUGUCUGCUGCGUCCCAGCGCCUCUCCAGCGCUAUUGGAAUAGAACCUCCAGCUCCCCCACCAGCCUGGAAGCCCCAGGGAGGGAGCAGCAUUCACUUUUUCAGCCACACGCCCCAGUCUCCUCACUUAUGGAGAUGCAUGCCCGUGUUGAAUUUUCUCAGCACCCCUCUUCGAUGUUCCAGCAGCCACCACUCCAGAAGCACAUCAAACUUGGGUUCCCUUCCUUUCCUGUUCAAAGUGAGGCAGUCCACAAUUAUUUGUAGGGGAUGUCAAGAGUCCAGAAAAGCUGACUUGGAUAGAACAAGAUGUGUUAGCGUGCAGCUUGCUAAUGCUUGUACCUUCUGUGGUGGAAGCAAAUAUUCCAGAUCAGCAGUAGAAGAACGUGGAUUGAUUCACACUGAAUUUUGGGCUCGCUGACCUCGACAUUCGCUGAAUGUGGACUCUCAGGACUGUCCCUUUGCACCUGUUGCUCCUUGUCCUUGGAGUAGCUUCCAGCUCCUCUUUCUGACACACUUCUUCCUGCUGCCUGUUAGGGUCCAGCUGGACUGUCCCCCGCUCUGUGAAGCUGGCUGCAGUUCCUGCUUCCCACCCUUUCCUCACCAUGCACACAGGCAGUCCCUCUCUGGACUCCCGCUGCCCCUCCUUGCAGCCUUAUCUGCGGUCACUGUGUUUUCCUAGGAGGCUAACAGAUGUGAGAGUGAGGAUUUUGUCUCACUCAUCUUCAUAGGCUUUUCAGGACUCAGCUUAUAUUGGCUCACAUCCAUGGGUGGGUGGAUUGUAAAUCUUUUGAAGGAACAUCUCUUUGAUUGGCUGGUUUGACUUCUUUUUAACAAAUAGCUUACUAGCUUUCCUCCUAGCCAUUCCUGGCUAGAUGCAGCCAGAUAUCUAACAGCAUUGAAAUGA